rnacentral:rRNA from 1 species
AUGCCUGUCUCGUGGUCUCAGGGAUCAGGGAUCAACAAAUCCUAUAGAAGUCUGCAAACUGAACGAAGCACACGCAAAAGAUCAAGUGUUUCUCUCUUCUUCUUGUUUGCACAAAUCUCUUCUAGCUCCGGCGCCAGGGCCGGCCGGGAGGCUGCUGCGGCGACCUCCACUCACGCCGCGCAGCCGGUGGUGGCAAAGGCGGCGCUCGUUGGGAGCACUCCGCGCGCGGCCAGGCCGACGUGCGCCUCCGCGCAGAAGAGCGGCGGCGGGGGCUGCGAGGGGCACCGCGCAUGCCGGUACGCCUACUGCUCCUUCAAGGGCCACGCGCCCGCGGCGCCGCCGCUGGGGGCCUUCCUGGCGUCCCGGAGCAGAGCAUGA